rnacentral:lncRNA from 1 species
UCAAACUAAUUCCUUUGAUUAAACAGUUGCAGCAAUCACAAAGCCCAUGAGAAAAAGAAAAACCAUAACACUAAAUAUUAAAAUUCAAAGUAUGACAAAUUGUUCCUAUAGAUUUAAAGAUCCAAACCAUAAUUCAUUGUUAUUCACUCAUUAACUAUUUUAUGGGAGUACAUUAUGGUAUCCGAAAUUAAAAAUUCAAUAGAAUUUAUUAACAGUAUCUUAAGAAAAAUGUAGAGACAAAAANCAUACUUGGUAGUUGGGGCAUUCGUGCUAGAUGUGCUAUUGGAGGACUGUUGGAGGAUCGGAAACUAGGUUGGAAUUGGAUGUUGAUACAGUUGUAGCAGGACUACUGGCAGGUUGACAUANUUUCACCAUAAUUAAUACAAAUAAAGAAAACUAGAAAAGAAAGAAAACUUCCAAAAUUGAGCGAUUAAUUACAUACCUGAAUAGAUGGAGCUGCAGCAGGACAUUAUGCUUUACUCUGAAAAUAGAGAAUUAAAAUGGAAAAUUGUGGUACAAAAAAGGUAAAAUGUGCUUCUUACCAUAUAAAUGCUAAAGCUUAUUGAAAGAAAAAUGUCUUAAUUGAGUUUAUCGAAUUGAAACUACGUAAAAGAUACUAUAUGACAAGAUCUAAUAUAAUACCUCUUACAAUGUCAAAA